rnacentral:rRNA from 1 species
GACGAACGCUGGCGGCGUGCCUAAUACAUGCAAGUAGAACGCUGAAGCGAGGAGCUUGCUCUUCUUGGAUGAGUUGCGAACGGGUGAGUAACGCGUAGGUAACCUGCCUGGUAGCGGGGGAUAACUAUUGGAAACGAUAGCUAAUACCGCAUAAAAUUGAUUAUUGCAUGAUAAUUAAUUGAAAGAUGCAACUGCAUCACUACCAGAUGGACCUGCGUUGUAUUAGCUAGUUGGUGAGGUAACGGCUCACCAAGGCGACGAUACAUAGCCGACCUGAGAGGGUGAUCGGCCACACUGGGACUGAGACACGGCCCAGACUCCUACGGGAGGCAGCAGUAGGGAAUCUUCGGCAAUGGGGGGAACCCUGACCGAGCAACGCCGCGUGAGUGAAGAAGGGUUUCGGAUCGUAAAGCUCUGUUGUAAGAGAAGAACGGGUGUGAGAGUGGAAAGUUCACACUGUGACGGUAUCUUACCAGAAAGGGACGGCUAACUACGUG